AUUGAACGCUGGCGGCAGGCCUAACACAUGCAAGUCGAGCGAGCGGCGGACGGGUGAGUAAGGCAUGGGGACUGCCCGAUAGCGGGGGAUAACUACUGGAAACGGUGGAUAAAAACGCAUACUGUCGGCAAACCCAUAUGGGAUUAGCUAGUAGGUAAGGUAAUGGCGUACCUAGGCGACGAUCCCUAGCUGGUCUGAGAGGAUGAUCAGCCACACUGGGACUGAGACACGGCCCAGACUCCUACGGAGGCAGCAGUGGGGAAUAUUGCACAAUGGGCGCAAGCCUGACGCAGCAAUGCCGCGUGUAUGAAGAAGGCCCUCGGGUUGUAAAGUACUUUCAGUCGGGAGGCGUUACCUACAGAGGAAGCACCGGCUAACUCCGUGCCAGCAGCCGCGGUAAUAC
rnacentral:rRNA from 1 species